AAACCCAACAGUUCGUUCUCCCAGCAGCCGUCUAAUGUCUCCCAGGUUAACCGAGAGGUAACGAACACUUUUUGAAGUAAAACGGACCGCAAGAUCUGGACCUGCUGUCAAGAAGGAGAAACUGCGAUUCCGUGAGUAUCACAAUCGAUCCUCGAAGAAGAAACUGAACUGUAAGUCCAGAUAUUUCCUCUUCAUGCUUGGGCAUUGGUUGGAUGUGGUUGGAAAGGUGUGUAGGUUUAUUAUUCUUUAUUUUAGGGUUAGGUUUUAAUGAUUAGUUGUGAAUGCUGUCUCAUUAGAAUUGGUUUAGUGGAGGUUCUCAGUGAGUUUUGUUGAAUAGUAAGAAAUAGGGUUUCUCAGAGUACAGCCAAAACUUACUCCACAGUUGUGUUCAUAUUUUCGUUCAGCCUCCUUCGCCUUAACUUUCCAUCUAAUAUCCCAUGCGUUUUGUCACACUGACGAGGGUGUGGUUUGAGUGAUCAGAGAUUCAUGCUAU